rnacentral:lncRNA from 1 species
UCAAGAUUCAACUUUCUUUAUGUCCAUGUUUUGCUGGUAUAAUGCAUCAUCAAGCUUUGUUUUAUAUGAUGACAUUGUGUAAAUCAGCAUAUGGAUGAGGAAAGUAUUCUGAGCGCAGAUGCUCGCCGCCGCCGCUGCUUCUGACAACGUGUGAGCCGCCUAAUCGAGCGAGGAUUCGCCGCUCAUCCUAAGAGGACUCGCCGCUCUUCCAUGACGCCGCCGCUGCAACGCGGCGUUGUUCCAGCACCAAAUCGCAGGUUUUUGCCGGUGCCUAUUUACUUGCCCUUCGUCUGCAUAGUUGAGCGCAAGCUUCUGGCCUUAAUAUAGACUUUUGAAAACAUUAUAUUUUCAUGCCUGCACAUUACUAGAAACAUAAUUACACUGCGUAGAUUUAACGGAUUUAAAUAAUACUAUUGUCUCAGUAAAAAAAUAUUUUUCAACUUCAAACUAUAUGCUGGCUUCAGAUUGUUUUCUUAAAAAACAAGAGCUCUUUUGGGGUUUGCAGUAGUGUGGUUUACAAGAGGUAGCCACGGUUCUUCAAAAAUUUGAAGUGUUAGCAAAAGGAGUGGAACAGAUCAAACUGAAGCUAUUUUAUUUAAUAUUAUCUACUUCUACUUGAACUUUGAUGGGAAUCUGAUGUAACUAUCCCGCAAUCUGAAAAUACUCUAUGAUGUGCAGAGAAGAUUUCUGUUUACAUGUAACUGCGCUGAACUCUGCUUAUAUUUCUCUAUGCGCCGCAAAGUUCAAGCAGUUGUAAGUAGUAUACAAACAUACUUUGCUCACAGUAUAAUCAUCUGAUGCAAUGUGAUAGUUCCAGCAAAAUUUCUUCACCUAUAAAUCAAACUAUGUAACUUCUCUUUGUGUAAAUCUUGGAUUUCUAGAUCUUAUGAAAAUGACUUUUUAUUUCAGCAAAUGUAAUUUGAAUUUGUAAUCUUUUUACAUAUAGAUGCAUCUGUGCAAAUCCAACAAAGUGGUGGGAAUAUCUACAACAUGAAGUUUCUCAAGCUGAUAGGGCAUUCUUCUGCAUGUUUGUGACAUGAUCAUGGUGCACAUAUAUUUAAUAGUGAAGGUCUUCGGCUAUCACUAUGAAUGGUUCUGCUGUUGUGUAAGUGAUUUCUUAAGUGUUGUGUUGUAACACAUUAGAGUAAAAGAUUAAUUGUGUAUGAAGAAUAAUAUUACGGAGUCAGGCACAAUUUGACCUUAGUUCUGACCAAAUUAAUCUUUAUUUGUUUGCUAGGUUGUGUGUCAAACAUCACUUCAUG